UAAGCUAUGCAUUUACUUUGGUUGGCUAUUUCUUAAAAAAGAUCAUAUGCUUCAACCAAGUUUUUUCACUUUCAGCAUAUAAAACCACUUGAAUUACUAAUCAAUGGGCCUCAGUCCAUUCUUACAAUCAAUAAUAGGGGUAACCUAAUAAUAGAAUCUCUCACAAUUGAUAUAUGUGCAAAAUUAAUAUAUCAUUAUUUCUACCGCAUUUUCCACCCUGAGCUCAUUUUACUUAUGAUUGAAUCUUUGCAUUGAAUGAAAAUAUAACAUCCAAACAGCAAACCGGGGAGCUAUCUGGUCUUGCUAUCAUUGCUAAUCAAAGCUGAAAUUGAAAAGAGAAACACAACAAAGUACCCCACUUGCAUGUCCCAUUUUGGACUGCUCUUGAUCACACUACUUGGUAUUACACUUCCCUAGUUCAGCUCCACAAAAAGGCUAGCUUGAGGAUGCAAUCCUGCUUCUUUCAAGGAGAGGGAGAGUUUUUCUGAACCAUACACAACCCGCGGAAAAUUUGAGACAAGGCUGUAUGUAUCAACCUCUAAGAAACCCAAAGAAUCAA
rnacentral:misc_RNA from 1 species